UUUACAGGGUCUCUGCUAGAAUCAUGUGGACCCCAGUGUAACAAAUCUAUGGAAAGAGAGAAAAUCUCAGCUCAAGGGUCAACAUGUCUUUAUUCCAAGAAAGAGUGUACAUAUGCCAGAAUCAUAUGGACCGCAGACUGGCCCUGGUGAUUCCGUUAAGAAAAAAGAGGAAAAAUCAGUGCUUGUGCUCAUUGGUCAUUGGACAAAGGGUGUAUGCCAGAAUUUUUUCAAGAACAGUCUGAAUCUGACAUGGAAAAAAUUAAGAAAAACAGCCUUCCUGUUUAUAAAUCUACAUUCUGACAAAGGAUCAUUUUCUUGAGAUAGGUGGAACCAACAGUCAAAUACAGACACUUCUAAGAAAAGUAAAAAUCUGGCUCAGGUAAGAAAGAAAUUCAGGAGUUCUUAAAUUGCCCUUGGAGUUCUUGGAUUGCAUCAAACUGCUAAAAGACCUCAACAAAAACAGCGUCUUGAAAAUAAAAAUGAAAAUAUUCAGUGAAAAAAAAAAAUGAUGAAAGAGCCACUAAAAAUCUUCAAGCCUUUGAGCUGAAAUCUGGAAGUCAAUCUGUGGACUUUACUAGUAAGUCAUAAUUACUAAGUCAUCAUUUGUGUAUAAUAAAUACACUAAACUGUAAACACUUGUUAAAAUGUGUAUAAUUUUUAGAUAUAAUUUGUAUCUCAUAGACUUCAAUAGUUUCAUGUAAUUUAAGUAAUAAUGAAAAUUUCCUGUUGUCUAGCUAGAUUAGAAACUAUUAUUGUCCAGUUUUGGAUAUUGUGAAAUAAUUCAUCUAGUAUGCAUACAUGUGUGUACACUUACGUGUAAAUUAAUUGUUAUAGCAAAUUCAAUCGAUCAUUAAGUUGAAUGUUGACUAAUGUUUUUCAUCAAAAUUGUUUACACUGAAUUGUUUGUGGAUUUUUCCAUUUGCCCAAUCAUGUCAAGGAGCACAUGGCAGGAAAUGCUUUCUCCUCCAUUGCACCUGGUGUUUUUAGAGUCUGU